CAGAGGGUAAAAGGGUGGCGGCGACGGACGGCGAGGGCGCAAGGCCGGCGGGGAAAAAGAGGUCAAGGGAAAAAACAAGAGGGCAGGGGAAAAUGUUGGCGCUGCCACCCUAGGACACACCUGCUUUGCCUUUAUGUCCCAAGGCGACACGGGCUCGAUGACGAUGGUGCCGUCAAACCAGUGCGACGCCGCGUUGACACCGUCGACGGGCUCCACGAGCGGACCGGCGACCUGCGUCGCGUUGAUCAGCACGAGGUAGACGGCGUCCCCCUGCGUCGAGAUUGAGUUGCUCAGCGACACUGAACCGCGCGACAUGGAGGUGCGUCGUCGCGCAUGCGCGCCCGGUGCCGUGUCGACGGCCGCCCCGUCCAUUCCCUGUCGAACGAAAACCCGAAAACAAGAAUUAAAAAACAAGAAUUAAAAAAC
rnacentral:lncRNA from 1 species